GCCGGGCUCGGUGGCGCGUGUCUGUAGUCCCAGCUAUUCGGGAGGCUGAGGCGGGAGGAUCUCUUGAGCCCAGGAGUUCUGGGCUGUAGUGCGCUAUGCCAAUCGGGUGUCCGCAUUAAGUUCAGCAUCAAUAUGGUGACCUCCUGGGAGUGGGGGACCACCAGGUUGCCUAAGGAGGGGUGAACCGGCCUAGGUCAGAACCGGAGCAGGUGAAAACUCCCAUGCUGAUCAGUAGUGGGAUCGUGCCUGUGAAUAGCCACUGCACUCCAGCCUGGGCAACAUAGCCAGACCCUGUCUCU
rnacentral:SRP_RNA from 1 species